rnacentral:rRNA from 1 species
UACGGAGGGAGCUAGCGUUGUUCGGAAUUACUGGGCGUAAAGCGCGCGUAGGCGGCUUUGUAAGUUAGAGGUGAAAGCCCAGGGCUCAACCCUGGAAUUGCCUUUAAGACUGCAUCGCUUGAACAUCGGAGAGGUAAGUAGAAUUCCGAGUGUAGAGGUGAAAUUCGUAGAUAUUCGGAAGAACACCAGUGGCGAAGGCGACUUACUGGACGAUUGUUGACGCUGAGGUGCGAAAGCGUGGGGAGCAAACAGG